rnacentral:rRNA from 1 species
AUGAACGCUAGCGGCAGGCUUAACACAUGCAAGUCGAGGGGUAUAGUUCUUCGGAACUAGAGACCGGCGCACGGGUGCGUAACGCGUAUGCAAUCUACCUUUCACAGAGGGAUAGCCCAGAGAAAUUUGGAUUAAUACCUCAUAGUAUUAUAGAAUGGCAUCAUUUUAUAAUUAAAGUCACAACGGUGAAAGAUGAGCAUGCGUCCCAUUAGCUAGAUGGUAAGGUAACGGCUUACCAUGGCAACGAUGGGUAGGGGUCCUGAGAGGGAGAUCCCCCACACUGGUACUGAGACACGGACCAGACUCCUACGGGAGGCAGCAGUGAGGAAUAUUGGACAAUGGGCGCAAGCCUGAUCCAGCCAUGCCGCGUGCAGGAUGACGGUCCUAUGGAUUGUAAACUGCUUUUGCACAGGAAGAAACAACGCUACGUGUAGCGUCUUGACGGUACUGUGAGAAUAAGGAUCGGCUAACUCCGU